rnacentral:tmRNA from 1 species
GGGGGUGAUCGGUUUCGACUUCGACGGUUGAUAUGAGAGAAGCGAGCCGUGGUCUCCGGAGCCACGUUAAAGAGCCGGAACACUUAGAAACGCCAAUGUCAAAACUAAUGACCUGGCGCUCGCUGCCUAAUUUAGGUAACGGGUAACGGCCUCACUGCCUCAGCCUCUCGGGUAGCGGUGGCCCUCAUCUGAGAGGCUUGCCUUCAGUCAUCGCCAGUGUGAUUGAAGGGACUUUUAGCUGGAUAAGGUUGCUUGAUCUGGGGUCGCUACCAACUCGCAACCCGACAACUUGCAAAGCGACUGCGCUCGGAGAAGACUCAUUGAAACGCCGGGGGACGCGGGUUCGAUUCCCGCCACCUCCACU